rnacentral:pre_miRNA from 1 species
AGCCUUCUGUAUCCAUGCGGAGAUUACGUCAGCAAUCAACCCAUUGGGGCUGAUGCAAAUUCUCAAAUAAGUGAAGUG